rnacentral:rRNA from 1 species
GAUGAACGCUGGCGGCGUGCCUAAUACAUGCAAGUCGAGCGAACGGACGAGAAGCUUGCUUCUCUGAUGUUAGCGGCGGACGGGUGAGUAACACGUGGAUAACCUACCUAUAAGACUGGGAUAACUUCGGGAAACCGGAGCUAAUACCGGAUAAUAUUUUGAACCGCAUGGUUCAAAAGUGAAAGACGGUCUUGCUGUCACUUAUAGAUGGAUCCGCGCUGCAUUAGCUAGUUGGUAAGGUAACGGCUUACCAAGGCAACGAUGCAUAGCCGACCUGAGAGGGUGAUCGGCCACACGGGAACUGAGACACGGUCCAGACUCCUACGGGAGGAAGCAGUAGGGAAUCUUCCGCAAUGGGCGAAAGCCUGACGGAGCAACGCCGCGUGAGUGAUGAAGGUCUUCGGAUCGUAAAACUCUGUUAUUAGGGAAGAACAUAUGUGUAAGUAACUGUGCACAUCUUGACGGUACCUAAUCAGAAAGCCACGGCUAACUACGUG